rnacentral:rRNA from 1 species
GCGUAAGCGAAGCUCUUGAUCGAAGCCCCAGUAAACGGCGGCCGUAACUAUAACGGUCCUAAGGUAGCGAAAUUCCUUGUCGGGUAAGUUCCGACCUGCACGAAUGGCAUAAUGAUGGCGGCGCUGUCUCCAGCAGAGGCUCAGUGAAAUCGAAAUCGCUGUGAAGAUGCAGUGUACCCGCGGCUAGACGGAAAGACCCCGUGAACCUUUACUGCAGCUUGACACUGAACUUUGACCUUACUUGUGUAGGAUAGGUGGGAGGCUUUGAAGCUGGAACGCUAGUUCCAGUGGAGCCGUCCUUGAAAUACCACCCUGGUAAUGUUGAGGUUCUAACUCUGUCCCGUGAUCCGGGACGAGGACCGUGUCUGGUGGGUAGUUUGACUGGGGCGGUCUCCUCCUAAAGAGUAACGGAGGAGUACGAAGGUGCGCUCAGCGUGGUCGGAAAUCACGCGUAGAGUAUAAAGGCAAAAGCGCGCUUAACUGCGAGACCCACAAGUCGAGCAGGUACGAAAGUAGGUCUUAGUGAUCCGGUGGUUCUGUAUGGAAGGGCCAUCGCUCAACGGAUAAAAGGUACUCUGGGGAUAACAGGCUGAUACCGCCCAAGAGUUCAUAUCGACGGCGGUGUUUGGCACCUCGAUGUCGGCUCAUCUCAUCCUGGGGCUGAAGCAGGUCCCAAGGGUAUGGCUGUUCGCCAUUUAAAGAGGUACGCGAGCUGGGUUUAGAACGUCGUGAGACAGUUCGGUCCCUAUCUACCGUGGGCGCUGGAAAUUUGAGAGGAUCUGCUCCUAGUACGAGAGGACCAGAGUGGACGAACCUCUGGUGUACCGGUUGUGACGCCAGUCGCAUCGCCGGGUAGCUAUGUUCGGAAGGGAUAACCGCUGAAAGCAUCUAAGCGGGAAGCCUACCUCAAGAUAAGAUUUCCCUAGGACUUUAUGUCCUCUAAAGAGCCGUUCGAGACUAGGACGUUGAUAGGUUGGAUGUGGAAGCAUAGUGAUAUGUGAAGCUGACCAAUACUAAUUGCUCGUGAGGCUUGACUAUACAACACCCAAGCAGUUG